ACAAGGGGAACUUAAACUGUUUUAAGUCAACCAGUAAAAAGUAUUUUAUACCCAAAAUUAUAUUGAUUUUGAAUGAAAAUGCCAUUGACUCAAAAGUCUGGGCCAAGUCAUGAUUAAUAACGAUUAUUUCUCCUUUGUAGAAAAUUCAAAUUUGUAUCUGUGUCAAAGUGGCAAUUAUUGUAAUGGGGAUUUAAAAACACAUUUCAAAUCUGGUAAUGGGGAGGUUAAAACAUAUUUAAAAUACUGUAAUGGGGAUAUUAAAACAUAUUCUAUUCUUGAAUUGUGUAUAUUAGAAAACAUUUAACACUUGAGUUAAAUGUUCACUUAGUUUGAAAUCAAUCUAUUCCAUGCUGUUCAAAUUAGCUCGUCAUGUUUUGCAAGUCACCUGUCAGGCAAGUCACACGUUAGUAAUGUCGGUGGGAAGAACAAUAAAAACAUGUGGUCAAGUGAUGUCUUUUGUUUUUGUUGUGAAGUUGGUCAGAUUGUGUGUCUAAGUUGGUCAUUCUUUAAGAAGAAAUUCGGCAACAGCUCAGUUAAUACAUCCUCCAGCUUUUACGUUCGUCAAACUCUUCUACAUUAACCCACUGGAGGCCAUGGCAACAGGCUGAACACAUGUUUAAAUGGGUUUCAUUGAAAGAGAAUAAAAUCAAAGAUGUAUUUUA